rnacentral:lncRNA from 1 species
AUUAGUGCAGUGAUGAAGCAUAUAUUGUGGACUAGAGUUUCUGAAAUUGGGCUCUUCUUCCCAUUUUAUUUUGACGACAAACCCUUGGCUGUCUGAGCACUCUACUUUCAUCUUAUUCUUAAUUUCUUAGACUGUUUUUUUUUUUAAUAUUCUGAGUUUAUUUAUUGUUUUUAAAAUUAGGUUAAGAGCUAAUGAUGAGAAAUACAAUUAUCUUAGCGGAUUUCAGUGAGAUUACUUUUAAUCAAUGAUCUGAUUGUUACACACACUGAAGCUCUUAAUAUUUUUUUUAAUAAAUGGGAUGUAAAUAAUAAUAAUAGCAGUGAUGAGGUUAAACACAUGAGGAUGUGUUUAGGGCAGUGGACAAAACGAGUAAAACCGUUUUGCCGUGAUCCCCAAUUUAAACGACUUCUCCUUCCACUGAGCUUU